rnacentral:rRNA from 1 species
CAGAGUUUGAUCCUGGCUCAGGACGAACGCUGGCGGCGUGGAUUAGGCAUGCAAGUCGAACGGUAGAUAUUCCUUCGGGGAUAUUGAGAGUGGCGAACGGGUGAGUAACACGUAGGUAAUCUACCCUCAAAUCGGGGACAACCCAGGGNAAACUUGGGCUAAUACCGGAUGAGUGCAGCACCUUAAUUUUCUGGUGAGUAGUGAAUAGUGAACGGUGAAUGAACCGCUUGCUUAUUGCUUGAGAUUGGGAAAUCAAGGUGCUGUAUAAAAGAUGGCUUCGGCUGUCGUUUGAGGAUGAGCCUGCGCUCUAUUAGUUAGUUGGUGGGGUAAUGGCCUACCAAGGCGAUGAUAGAUAGGCGGCCUUAACGGGUGGUCGCCCACACUGGGAUUGAGAUACGGCCCAGACUCCUACGGGAGGCAGCAGUCGAGAAUAGUCUACAAUGGACGGAAGUCUGAUAGUGCGACGCCGCGUGAACGAUGAAUCCCUUCGGGGUGUAAAGUUCUUUUAUAUGUGAGCAAUGCUUUUUAUGUGAAUAGCAUGAGAAGAGAGAUAUUAGCAUAUGAAUAAGCAACGGCUAACUCCGUGCCAGCAGCCGCGGUAACACGGGGGUUGCAAGCGUUGUCCGGAAUUACUAGGCGUAAAGGGCAGGUAGGCGGAUCCAUAAGUUUGAUGUUAAAGGCAGCGGCUCACCCGCUGUAGGGCAUUANAUACUGUGGAUCUGGAAUACGGUUGGGGAAGACAGAAUCCUGGUGUANCGGUGGAAUGCGCAGAGAUCAGGAGGAAUACCAAAGGCGAAGGCAGUCUUCUAAGCCGUUAUUGACGCUAAACUGCGAAGGUGUGGGUAUCAAACAGGAUUAGAUACCCUGGUAGUCCACACAGUAAACGAUAAUCACUAGGUGUCGGGUUCGAAGAGGAUUCGGUGCCGUAGCUAACGCGAUAAGUGAUUCGCCUGGGGAGUACGAUCGCAAGGUUGAAACUCAAAGGAAUUGACGGGGGCCCGCACAAGCGGUGGAGCAUGUGGUUUAAUUCGAUGAUACGCGAGGAACCUUACCUAGGCUCAAAUGCAGGACGAUCGUCCGGGAAACCGGUCUUCUCUUCGGAGCGACCUGCAAGGUGCUGCAUGGUUGUCGUCAGCUCGUGCCGUGAGGUGUCGGGUUAAGUCCCAUAACGAGCGCAACCCCUACCAUUAGUUGCCAUCAGGUUAUGCUGGGCACUCUAAUGGGACUGCCUACGCAAGUAGUGAGGAAGGUGGGGAUGACGUCAAGUCAGCAUGGCCCUUACGCCUAGGGCUACACACGUGCUACAAUGGGUACUACAAUGGGUCGCGAAGCCGCGAGGUGGAGCCAAUCCCUUAAAAGUACCCUCAGUUCGGAUUGGAGUCUGCAACUCGACUCCAUGAAGCUGGAAUUGCUAGUAAUCGCUUAUCAGCACGAAGCGGUGAAUACGUUCCCGGGCCUUGUACACACCGCCCGUCAAGCCAUGGAAGCCGGGGGUACCCAAAGUCAGUGACCCAACUUUUCGAAGAGGGAGCUGCCUAAGGUAAAACUGGUGACUGGGGCUAAGUCGUAANCAAGGUAACCGUA